GCCCCCUCUGUCUCCCGUCCCCGGGGGGUCGGCCUCCGGGCCUGAGCACGCUGCCCCUCGUCUGCACUGCGGUCUCUGGCCUGGGUCCGGCGGCCGCGGCUGAGGGCCGGCUUCUCCUUCACGUUGCCUUCCCACAUUCGGGUUUUGUUCGCCCCUCACUUCCGGGUGCCGCGGGUCUUGGUGAGAGUCACUCAAGCACUGCCUCUAGCCUGCCACGUGUCUCCUCCCCCUUUGAGUUUUUGCUUUGAGACAGGGUCUCGCUCACUCACUAAGCUGCCUGGGCUGGGCCUGAGCUUGCGCUCCUCCUGCCUCAGCUUUGCAGAGUGCUGGGAGUACAGGUGUGCAGCGCCACUGCGGUUUGCAGCCACCCAACUUUCACUGUACCUUCCUCUGCCUGCCUUCCACCCCCAAGGGGGCCACAAACGUCCCCUGUCGCUGUCCCCCCAGGGAAGAGCUGCCCCCCUUCCAACCUGCCAGAGAUCCGCCUUUGGCGCUAACUUCCCGGGUCUGUGGGCCUGUGCUCACUGCUGGCAACUCUCCAGCGAGCUUUCGUCCCAGGCCCCGAGGUGGGGGUGACAGUCCCACAGGUCUCCCCUCUGCAGGGUCCAAACUUCCCCGGUGCCAGUCUCCGGGACGAUGCGCUCCAGCCAGGUGUCUGCAGUGCGGGUCCUGGCCUCCUCAGAAGCCCCACAUACCCCUUCCCAAGACCGGGUCACAGGUGCAGCCCAGCCUGCCUUCGAUUUCUUCAGUCCGCUCAGCUGUUUGGUGGUGUGAAAGUCCCCAGAAGGAAACGGUUGGCUCUGACAGCUGAGCAGAAGGAACUCUUCCUUUUUCCAUGUCUUGUUUAUGUGUCGUGAGGCAGAGACAGAUUGGAGCAUCUUGGGCCGCAAUUUCCACCUGCAGUUGUCUGUUGUGACUCUACUGACUUGUGGUGAAGAUGCCCACUAGGCGAUCCAGCUGUAGCACGAUUGCCUUGAAGGAUUUGCCCUCUGCUCGGCAGCCAUGUGCACCACAUUACUCUCACGACAUUACCAAGGUGGAAGUCGUCAGCCUCACGUCAGAGGGUGAGGUCCAUGCUGGGCUGGGUCUGCUACAGCUGCCUGCAGGCCCGUGCCUGGCUCUGGCAUCCACGCCUGAGCUUCCUUGCCCCUGCCCAGCCUCUGCUGCUUGCCAAGGAGGUGCAGAGACAUUUGGUGAUGCUCACCAGGGCAGCAGGCCCAUGGGGAGGUGCUGCGUGCUCAGGUGUUGUACUCCCCGUGGGUUUGGGAAGAUUUCUGGGCAUUUACCUCGGUCCCAGUAUUUGCUCUGCUGUGCAUGGGGCAGGGCCUGGCUCUGGUUCUCUUUGUUACUGAAGCUCCGUAUUUCAGCAUGUCUGGGGCUGGUUCCUCCCUCAGUAUGUUUCUCCCCCUGAGUUUUUCUCCAUGCUUUCAAACCAGCUCGUGACGCUGCCUGGUUCUGAGGGUGUGGCCUGCCAUCCACUGGGAUUUGUGUCUCUCCCGGGUGUCCCUCUGCCUGCGGGCUGCCAUGUCCCCCAGUGUCCUGUGUCCUCUCUGCACCCUCAGGUGAGCGUCUCCGUCCCUUCCCGAGCCCUUGCCCUCUCUGCUGUGCUGUGGGCUUCAGCAUCUUCCUCCUCCUCGGUGCAUCUUCCCGUUCACAGUCACGAGGCGGCCCCCUGGGACAGCAGUGACAGUGUGUCCCUGCCCGGGCACGGGGCAGACGCUUGGGUGGAGGAUUUUCACCUGCUCUGCUCCCCGGAGUUUCCCAAGGGCCCAGGACAGGCCUGGC
ensembl:lncRNA